GGGGGUGAAAGGGUUUUAAAUCUUCAGAAAGAAAAGCUGAUUGAGAUUGCUAAAAGAUGUAAAAAUUCUUUCUGGAAGGAUGUUUUACUAUGCUUUUCCGCUGCAAAACCUAUUACUGAGAUUUCUGUCAGUGACAUUUUAUCCUUAGAUAUUUUGAACUUUUCUUCUUUGGAUGAUUUCCCAUAUUACAUUCAAUGGGAAAAGGGGGGUGUGCAGUCAGUAAGUGACCUUAUUAAUCGUGAAAAUAUGAUUUUUUAUAAAUUUGAGCAAUUUCAAGAAAAAGUACAAACCAACAAUUUUAUUAAAUAUUAUGGUUUGAUAUCAAAAAUCCCUA
rnacentral:lncRNA from 1 species